rnacentral:rRNA from 1 species
CGGUAGUCAUACGCUCGUCUCAAAGAUUAAGCCAUGCAUGUGUAAGUAUAAAUAAUUUUACUUUGAAACUGCGAAUGGCUCAUUAUAUCAGUUAUAGUUUAUUAGAAAUAUUUUACUACUUGGAUAACCGUAGUAAUUCUAGGGCUAAUACAUGAGUAAAACCUCAACUUCGGAAGAGGUGUGUUUAUUAGUAUGAAAACCAUAUAUCUUCGGAUAUAAUAGUGAGUAAUAAUAACCUUUCAUAUCGUAUGUCGUAAGAUAACGAUAGUUCUUUCAAGUUUCUGCCCUAUCAGCUUUCGAUGGUAGUAUAUGGGACUACCAUGGCAGUAACGGGUAACGAAGAAUUUGGGUUCGAUUUCGGAGAGGGAGCCUGAGAGAUGGCUACCACAUCCAAGGAAGGCAGCAGGCGCGUAAAUUACCCAAUCCUGACAUAGGGAGGUAGUGACAAUAAAUCACAWUSSGGAACUUUUAGUUUUGCAAUUGGAUUGAGAACAAUGUACAAAUGUUAUCGAUAAACAAUUGGAGGGCAAGUCUGGUGCCAGCAGCCGCGGUAAUUCCAGCUCCAAUAGCGUAUAUUAACGUUGUU